AGGUGGCCAGGACGCCCAAGUGUGCCGCUAGCGGGGAAUCAUGGUUAUCCUGAAGGAACUGAAGCCGCCAGUGAACAGGAGCAAUCGCCAUCUGACAAUGCGAGCGUCACGAGACUGCUCCUCGGCCCAGUGUGAAGCUUUGUCAUCAGUAAUCAACUUUUGGACUUUAUCGGCGUCGAAGGCCUGCAUGUCCUCCUGGGAGACUGCCUUAACCUCAGCCGACAUCAUUUCGAACCGGGUGUCCACGUAAUCUCUCUCCAAAACCGCAAAGCAGCAUUCAAUCAUCGCUGCAUCACCGGCAAAAGGCGAAGUUUGCCGAUAGUCAAAUUCGAUAUCCGAAUCGUCGGAGUCGGGUUCCGGUUGCUCUCCUGGGUUUCUACUCAAGGCGUCAGCAAUAACGUUCUCUUUGCCAUCAGCUUGCGGCUUAAAUAGGCAAUAGGACGCCAAUUUGUCGGCACAUCCGUCGGUUUAUCCUUGGGACAUUGCAUAAGGACUGCACCCACAGCAAUAGUACUUGCAUCGACAAUAACACGCGACAAAGCCUCCGGGUCAUAACGGGCCAAGACCGGCGCCGUCACCAAGGCCUCCUUCAGUUGUU